rnacentral:rRNA from 1 species
UACGUAGGGGGCGAGCGUUGUCCGGAAUCAUUGGGCGUAAAGCGCGUGUAGGCGGCUGAGUAAGUCUGCUGUGAAAGUCCAAGGCUCAACCUUGGAAUGCCGGCGGAUACUGCUCAGCUAGAGUUCGGAAGGGGCGAGUGGAAUUCCUGGUGUAGCGGUGGAAUGCGCAGAUAUCAGGAGGAACACCUAUGGCGAAGGCAGCUCGCUGGGACGGUACUGACACUGAGGAGCGAAAGCAUGGGUAGCGAACAGG